rnacentral:rRNA from 1 species
AGAACGAACGCUGGCGGCAGGCUUAACACAUGCAAGUCGAACGCCCCGCAAGGGGAGUGGCAGACGGGUGAGUAACGCGUGGGAACCUACCCAAUUCUACGGAACAACUGAGGGAAACUUCAGCUAAUACCGUAUACGCCCGAAAGGGGAAAGAUUUAUCGGAGUUGGAUGGGCCCGCGUUGGAUUAGCUAGUUGGUGGGGUAAUGGCCUACCAAGGCGACGAUCCAUAGCUGGUCUGAGAGGAUGAUCAGCCACACUGGGACUGAGACACGGCCCAGACUCCUACGGGAGGCAGCAGUGGGGAAUAUUGGACAAUGGGCGCAAGCCUGAUCCAGCCAUGCCGCGUGAGUGAUGAAGGCCUUAGGGUGUAAAGCUCUUUCAGUGGGAAGAUAAGUGACGGUACCCACAGAAGAAGCCCCGGCUAACUUCGCGCCAGCAGCCGC